rnacentral:tRNA from 1 species
AGGGGCGUAGCUCAGUUGGUAGAGCAGCGGAUUCCAAAUCCGCGGGCCGGGAGUUCGAGUCUCUCCGCCCCUG